UGUUCCAUUGAUCAUCUGGAAUGGUCUCCACAAAAGCUCUGGGGUGAGCAGGGCUGGGGUGCUGAUCCCCCAACCAUAUGUGAUGAGGAUUCUGAGAGACAGGGAAGUCACGAGACUUGUCCAAGGCCCUUCAGCAAGCAAAUCAUAGACAGUGCUCAAAGGUAAGCUUCUCAAUCCCAGUCCAGUGCUGUUGACUUCUAUGCUAAAAAGGUGAGUACGGACGAGCGUGUAUGUGUGAACCAGUUUUCUCCAGUCACACAUUCACUCCUACACUACAAAACUAUUGGACACUCCCCACAGGUGUGUCCUUUGCCCCUUUAUGAGUUCUCUGUGCAACUGCCCCAUGCUCCCACUGCUUUCCUGCCACCUGCUCCCAUCUUGGAUUUUGAAGCGGUCAUGGUGCCUCCAUUCCAGAAAGCUUGGCCAACCAGUCCAGGGCGGCAAUCACAGUUGAAUCUUCCUCAAGGAGAGAAACUUCACAUUCUGAUCUGCAGCGUGGUGGAUGCCUGUUUUCUGCAGGCCUGAUCGACAGAAAUGCUGGAUGCUUAUGAGAGGUGGACACCUCUUGAUAAAAGAUCUCUGUGGCCACUGUGUGGAGAACAGACCACAUGGAGCAGAAGCAAGGAGCCUGACAGGGAGGUGACUGCACGGUGACUUAGACGGAUGUGAUUAUAAGAUGGAAAGCAAUGGACAGAUGCGGAAUCAUGUUCUGAAGGCUAUCACCUUUUCAAAGGCUGAACUCUGCCCCUUUUACCUCUUUAUUUUGCUGAUGAAGCCAACUGGGUUGGACACCAAGAUUCAUCAUGAACCACUCCCACUUUCAUCCUUAUUCUUAUCUCUACCCCUUACAAAGAAAAUCAAUACAAAGACCUUACAUAGCAUUUGCUUUCUCUUUUUUCUUAUGUCUAAAUGAAUUUCAAUCAGAAACAUCUACUGUCAUUAGAUAUUUAGGAUGACCAGGUCUUGGUUUUGUAUCAUUUGCUGUCAACUGGUCUUACAAACCAAAACAAAGGGGCAGGAAAGGAGAAGAAAGUCAAAUACCCUAAUGGCCAAAGAAAGACAUUACCCAUGAACUCAGACCUCUCCAGGCAGGAAAUUGCUUUUAUGUCAUGGAUAAAGCAGUAAAUAACACACUCGAUGACUGGACCAUCAUUUCCAGAUGUUAGUCUAUCUUUCCAUGCCAAAAGCUACCAGGUAAGUAAUCUUGAAGUGCUGGUCCUCUCUAGAAGCCAGAGAGUAUAUGGCUUUGUUCAUCAAGAAAACAUUUGUCUUGUUUUUUAAAAGGAAUUCUUGUUACCACCUCAAAGACACCACGCUUUGGGGGACUUUGAGUAUUACAUUUUCAUUUCCUUUGCCUGGUACACCUGCCUCCCCUUAAUAUCUGUGCUUACAGGAAU